AGGUCCACCAAGCAGGCGGAGGCCGAGGGUGGAAAUGCAGCGUCGCAAGCAAACGCCGACGCGCAGUCAUCCGUAUCGC
rnacentral:SRP_RNA from 1 species